AUGGUAUAGUGAGGAGAUUGGGGGAGGUCCGAUACAUAUCCGAUUUCAGAUAGAAUAUUAUCUCACUAAGCAGAUUGGAUUUGAGAGGCUACAGGAAGGUAGCUGAUGGAGAAAUCUUGAAGGUGUUGCACGGCUAUAGGGUUAUUCUAUAGGAGAAUAAGAAGAUGAGAGGAUAUCACUAUCUGAUGGUGAGCCCAAUGCAAGGUGGAGCUUCAGGAGCCAGGAGGAGCCCAGAGCGAGGUGGAGCUCUAGGUGGAGGUGGAUCGGACAUGAGAUACAAGAUUCGAGAGGAUGAGAGGCGAUAUCACAGGAUGAGAUUUCUAUUGCUGCAGUAUGAUACCCCAAGC
rnacentral:lncRNA from 1 species